AGAAGGCGCCCUGCGUUAUGGAUUUCAUCAGAUUCCUGGUACAUUGGCCACUGUGCCAGCCCCUCCUGAAAUCCACAGAACCCCAUAGCUAAGGUCUGGGAAGACAGAGGUGGUGUGCUAAGAGAGUAGGAACUGAAGUCCCAAGAGGGCAACUGCUAUAUGGAACUGCCCAGCCUGUCUGCUGAAGAGCCUGGCCCAAGUCCAGAACCCAGGCACCAAACCCAGGAGGAUGCUGGGACAUCAGAGGACGUCUGGAGCUCCUUCCCUCAUAAUUGGAACUGCCCAGAAGCCAUAUGGGAAGAGCUUCGGGGAAAUUAUGACACCAUUUCACAGACAGACACACUGAGGCCCAGGGGCAUGGG